CUUUAAUUAGGAUAAUCAUCUGAGCUCUCAUUUCAAUGCAUAUAGCAAAUAUCAAGAGAUGCUUCUGGAUGCGAUAAGGUCGUUUCGAUCCUCAGUUAUGUCUAUAUGUAUAUAACUGACUUUCAGCUAUAUGUAUUUCCAGUAGUUUGGCAAAUUAGUUAUGUCAAUACUAGUAUUUUAUGUUCAUGUUCGUAGGAUAUGAAAGAUAAAACUCUAAAAUGGAUAUGAACCCACACAGACAUGAGAUUCACUGCGGGAGCCCCACAUCCAACAUAUUGCGGGCAAUAUCAGAAGUCGUCGCAGCCUCCAUUGCAAAAGAUCGUCGCAUCCUGCAAGAAAAACAAGAAAAAAUAUCAAUGAAAAGGAAUGGAAGGGAAGGACCCAAUAAUAUGCACAUUGGGGCUCGAGUCUCUGGCUGCGCAUUCUGGGUGGUGACAGACGACAGCUUUUGCAUCUUUUAUUGUAUGACUCACGCAGUUUGACAGUCCGCGUUAGAUAACUAGUUAUAACUAUAGUAGCACAGAAAAUCAACUCCAAGGAUUUAUCAACCUGUCUGCGACCCAUCUCCUUU